UACGAAGGGGGGCUAGCGUUGCUCGGAAUUACUGGGCGUAAAGCGCACGUAGGCGGAUCUUUAAGUCAGGGGGUGAAAUCCUGGAGCUCAACUCCAGAACUGCCUUUGAUACUGAGGACCUUGAGUUCGGGAGAGGUGAGUGGAACUGCGAGUGUAGAGGUGAAAUUCGUAGAUAUUCGCAAGAACACCAGUGGCGAAGGCGGCUCACUGGCCCGAUAC
rnacentral:rRNA from 1 species